rnacentral:misc_RNA from 1 species
UGGCCAAACAGUGAACAGGAAAUUUCGAUCUGGACGAAAUUCCAUCUUACUGUAUCCUAUCUGAAUGGGCACCUAACAAGUGAAAAGCAGUUCCACUGUGGGUGUUGAUGGCAAAAAUCAUGGAUCCUGACAGUUCUAGAUCAUUUUGACUCUUAGAUAUUAAAGAAAUCAGGCCACACGUUUUGGCUUUGGGAUUGGGAAGCAUAUCAGAGGCGGGCACAUCUUAUAUGAGCAAUUUUGGUUCAUUAUUCUGGGGCCUUUUUCUCACUCACCGUACAAGCACACGAGUAACUAAAGAGAAUAAGGUCUGAUCUUUUUACAUUUGCAUUUUGGCACUGACGCUGAGGUGAAAAGUUAACGAUAUGAAGCUCAUUUAAGAGUCGGCUUAAGCUGCAAUAAGCUUUAUCUUUCUCUCAAUGUACGUAUAUCAAAGAUGUUCAUUUGUAGAGAAGUUUGCUUGCUUAGAUCAUUUGCAUUCGGUUUGUCAUAGAGACUCAAAACUAAGCAAAAUAUCUUCUAAAAAAAACUAACUAAAGGAACAAUGAAGUAAUAUUUCACUCGCUUAUAUUGUUUCCUACUUUCGCCAAUUUAAUAUUUCUAAUCUGUGAUAGGGACAUGGACGCCAAUAGACAGAUGAUGAUG